rnacentral:rRNA from 1 species
CAGCAGCCGCCGCGGUAAAACGGAGGGGGCUAGCGUUGUUCGGAAUUACUGGGCGUAAAGCGCACGUAGGCGGCUUUGUAAGUCAGAGGUGAAAGCCUGGAGCUCAACUCCAGAAUUGCCUUUGAGACUGCAUCGCUUGAACGUCGGAGAGGUGAGUGGAAUUCCGAGUGUAGAGGUGAAAUUCGUAGAUAUUCGGAAGAACACCAGUGGCGAAGGCGGCUCACUGGACGACUAUUGACGCUGAGGUGCGAAAGCGUGGGGAGCAAACAGGAUUAGAUACCCCGGUAGUCCCUGUCUCUUAUAC